rnacentral:sRNA from 1 species
CCAGAGAUACCUAAUGUACGUCCUAAUGUAGGUAAUAUAGGU